UUUCGAAUUGGAUCUUUGCUGGAAGAAUGUUUUCACAAUACAAUAAGAAGACUCUGAAGUUCAAAAUGUAAACUCGUGCCAUAGAAUCCCAUUCUGAAAGAAAAGAAUUUAUGGCAUGCAGAAUUAGUGGUGUAACUUUUAUAGGAUAUCUGACAACGGAUUUCUUCGAACAAGUGCAUAAUGAUGAAUAUAAGCAUAAUCGGGCUACGGAUCCUUAGCCACCUUC
rnacentral:lncRNA from 1 species